CUCAGUUGGUAGAGCGGGCGCCCAUGUAUAUAGAGGUUUACUACUCAACGCAGCAGGCCCGGGGUUGACUCUGACCUCGGCCUUUUGCUGCAUGUCAUUCUCCCUCUCUCUCCCCUUUCAUGUAUUCAGCUGUCCUGUCAAAUAAUGGCCUAAAAUGUCCA